rnacentral:rRNA from 1 species
GACGAACGCUGGCGGCGUGCCUAAUACAUGCAAGUCGAGCGAAGUUUUUCUGGUGCUUGCACUAGAAAAACUUAGCGGCGAACGGGUGAGUAACACGUAAAGAACCUGCCUCAUAGACUGGGACAACUAUUGGAAACGAUAGCUAAUACCGGAUAACAGUAUUUCUCGCAUGAGAGAUAUUUAAAAGUUGGUUAUGCUAACACUAUGAGAUGGCUUUGCGGUGCAUUAGCUAGUUGGUGGGGUAAAGGCCCACCAAGGCGACGAUGCAUAGCCGACCUGAGAGGGUGAUCGGCCACACUGGGACUGAGACACGGCCCAGACUCCUACGGGAGGCAGCAGUAGGGAAUCUUCCGCAAUGGGCGAAAGCCUGACGGAGCAACGCCGCGUGAGUGAAGAAGGAUUUCGGUUCGUAAAGCUCUGUUGUUAGGGAAGAAUGGAUAUGUAGUAACUAUACAUAUAAGAGACGGUACCUAACCAGAAAGCCCGG